rnacentral:tRNA from 2 species
CCCGCGCCAGAACGGCCGGCAGUUCCAGGCGUACUCGCACUACGUCCAGCCCGGCGGCCUGGUGCAGUCGUUCAUCGACAACGUGGAC